GUGGGGAAUAUUGGACAAUGGGCGCAAGCCUGAUCCAGCCAUGCCGCGUGUGUGAAGAAGGCCUUCGGGUUGUAAAGCACUUUUGUUGGGAAAGAAAUCCUGUCGGCUAAUACCCGGCGGGGAUGACGGUACCCAAAGAAUAAGCACCGGCUAACUUCGUGCCAGCAGCCGCGGUAAUACGAAGGGUGCAAGCGUUACUCGGAAUUACUGGGCGUAAAGCGUGCGUAGGUGGUUCGUUAAGUCAGAUGUGAAAGCCCCGGGCUCAACCUGGGAAUUGCAUUUGAUACUGGGGGACUAGAGUGCGGUAGAGGAGAGUGGAAUUCCCGGUGUAGCAGUGAAAUGCGUAGAGAUCGGGAGGAACAUCAGUUGCGAAGGCGGCUCUCUGGACCAGCACUGACACUGAGGCACGAAAGCGUGGGGAGCAAACAGGAUUAGAUACCCGAGUAGUCC
rnacentral:rRNA from 1 species